UAGGGAAUCUUCCACAGUGGACGAAAGUCUGAUGGAGCAACGCCGCGUGAGUGAAGAAGGUUUUCGGAUCGUAAAGCUCUGUUGUUGGUGAAGAAGGAUAGAGGCAGUAACUGGUCUUUAUUUGACGGUAAUCAACCAGAAAGUCACGGCUAACUACGUGCCAA
rnacentral:rRNA from 1 species